ACGUGGGAGGCGAGCGUUGUCCGGAGUUAUUGGGCGUAAAGGGCGCGUAGGCGGUGCGGUAAGUCACCUGUGAAAUCUCUGGGCUUAACUCAGAGCCUGCAGGCGAAACUGCCGUGCUGGAGUACUGGAGAGGUGAGUGGAAUUCCCGGUGUAGCGGUGAAAUGCGUAGAUAUCGGGAGGAACAUCUGUGGCGAAGGCGACUACCUGGACCAGCACUGACACUGAGGCACGAAAGCGUGGGGAGCAAACAGGA
rnacentral:rRNA from 1 species